rnacentral:other from 1 species
CUUUUUCUGGUGUGUUUGCAUGCACCUUAAAGACUCUUGAGCCGAUGCUAUGAAACUUGGGAGCUAGACUGCUAUCACUGUUGUGCAAGUCCACCUUGUGUGGAAAGCCUGAAGAGAUACAUAGGCGCCCACUUGAACCCCUGGGUUCAAGACCGACAGGUAGCGGCAUACUGGAUUAAGC